rnacentral:tRNA from 1 species
GGAGGCAUCGUCUAGUGGUAGGAUGACAGAUUGACAUUCUGUAGGCAGGAGUCCAAUUCUCCUUGCCUCCA